AAACUGGGAUUAGAUACCCCACUAUGCCUGACUGUAAAUUACCAGCCAAAAAAGUAUGAGCCCCGCUUAAAACUUAAAGGACCUGGCGGUACUCUAUAUCAACCUAGAGGGGCCUGUCCUAUAACCGAUAAUCCACGAAAAACCUUACCACUCCUUGCCUCCAGCCUAUAUACCGCCGUCUUCAGCACAUUUCCCAAAAAAUGAAGCUAAAUAGUCCCACACACUAGCACGUCAGGUCAAGGUGUAGCUAAUGGAGCGGAAGAGGCGGACCACAAUACCACAACACACGGAAACCCCAUUGAAACAUGAGGAAAAAGAUGAAUUUAGCAGUAAGUGGGGCCGAACACCCCACUGAACCACCCGCCCUAGAGUACGCACACACCGCCCGUCACCCU
rnacentral:rRNA from 1 species